AAGUCGUAACAAGGUUUCCGUAGGUGAACCUGCGGAAGGAUCAUUAACAAAUCUAUGAGCGAAAGCUCAUCAACCUUUGUGAAUUGGGUUGUAUAGUUGGUAACAAAUAUACAAUUUCGUUGGGGACCCUUUGUGUAAUAGAAAGAUUAUUUUGAAAAAUUAAUUUUUUCUAUUGCAUAUAUAUAUUAACAUUGUCUGAUUAUAGAUUGAAGUCGUAAGAUUUCAAAUAAAAAUACAACUUUUAACAAUGGAUCUCUAGGCUCUU
rnacentral:misc_RNA from 1 species